UUGGGUUUGGGAGGGAUCUUUCAGGAAAAGAAGAGGUGUGGCUUGAUGUGGAAGAAGUGUGUGCCUAGAUUUUGAUUGAGUUUAAGAGACAGGUUUUAGGAGCAAAAGAGAGAUUUGGCUGAGCUUUUGGAGUGAAGUGCAUUGCAACUCACUAUAUGCUACUGCAGAUGUUCCCACAAGAAGUCCUAGAAAGAACUAUUGGUUUUUCUACAGU